UGAUGGCGUGCCUUUUGUAGAAUGAACCGGCGAGUUACGAUUUGAUGCAAGGUUAAGCAGUAAAUGUGGAGCCGUAGCGAAAGCGAGUCUGAAUAGGGCGUUUAGUAUUUGGUCGUAGACCCGAAACCAGGUGAUCUACCCUUGGUCAGGUUGAAGUUCAGGUAACACUGAAUGGAGGACCGAACCGACUUACGUUGAAAAGUGAGCGGAUGAACUGAGGGUAGCGGAGAAAUUCCAAUCGAACCUGGAGAUAGCUGGUUCUCUCCGAAAUAGCUUUAGGGCUAGCCUCAAGUGAUGAUUAUUGGAGGUAGAGCACUGUUUGGACGAGGGGCCCCUCUCGGGUUACCGAAUUCAGACAAACUCCGAAUGCCAAUUAAUUUAACUUGGGAGUCAGAACAUGGGUGAUAAGGUCCGUGUUCGAAAGGGAAACAGCCCAGACCACCAGCUAAGGUCCCAAAAUAUAUGUUAAGUGGAAAAGGAUGUGGCGUUGCCCAGACAACUAGGAUGUUGGCUUAGAAGCAGCCAUCAUUUAAAGAGUGCGUAAUAGCUCACUAGUCGAGUGACACUGCGCCGAAAAUGUACCGGGGCUAAACAUAUUACCGAAGCUGUGGAUUGUCCUUUGGACAAUGGUAGGAGAGCGUUCUAAGGGCGUUGAAGCAUGAUCGUAAGGACAUGUGGAGCGCUUAGAAGUGAGAAUGCCGGUGUGAGUAGCGAAAGACGGGUGAGAAUCCCGUCCACCGAUUGACUAAGGUUUCCAGAGGAAGGCUCGUCCGCUCUGGGUUAGUCGGGUCCUAAGCUGAGGCCGACAGGCGUAGGCGAUGGAUAACAGGUUGAUAUUCCUGUACCACCUAUA
rnacentral:rRNA from 1 species